rnacentral:rRNA from 1 species
UGCCAGCCGCCGCGGUAAUACGAAGGGUGCUAGCGUUGUUCGGAAUUACUGGGCGUAAAGAGCAUGUAGGCGGAUGAAUUAGUCAGAGGUGAAAGCCCCGAGCUCAACUUGGGAACUGCCUUUGAUACUGGGUAUCUAGAGUAUGGUAGAGGAAAGUGGAAUUUCCGGUGUAGCGGUGAAAUGCGUAGAUGUCGGAAGGAACACCAGUGGCGAAGGCGGCUUUCUGGACCAAUACUGACGCUGAGGUGCGAAAGCGUGGGUAGCAAACAGGAUUAGAUA